AUCAUCAGAAAGCUUAUUUGGAUCAAGAAAAACUUUGGCAUCAGCAUCCAAGGAGUCUUGUACAUAUAAAACCCGCUGGUUCUGUAGUCCUGUAUUGUAAAAGUGAAAAUACCUUUUUCCUUUCUUGAAGUGGCAACUGUACUUUGGAUAAUCAUAGAGUUCAGUCAUUCGUUCUUUGAAUAGUCCUCUGACAGGGCACUGCUCAAGAAAGGGUACCGUAAGCUUGUUCUGAGCCUCCACAAAUGCCUUUGUCUGCUCACUGUCAGGAUCUUCAAGCCAGCAAUACGGGUCACUGAUUUGGUGUCCAUGGUAAUCCAAUACGGCGGCCUCGUCGCGGUACACCUCGGGGUACUGGAAGGCCUGCAUGGCGGGAGGCGGAGCAGAGUGGCGAGAAGAGGAGGAAGAGAGGCGCGGAAGGGGCUCCGAGGCUGCAACUCGAGCAGCAGCGGCCGGCAGCAAGCGUGCAGCACGGCCAAGGCGCAGCGG
rnacentral:lncRNA from 1 species